rnacentral:rRNA from 1 species
UAGGGAAUCUUCGGCAAUGGGGGGAACCCUGACCGAGCAACGCCGCGUGAGUGAAGAAGGUUUUCGGAUCGUAAAGCUCUGUUGUUAAGGAAGAACGAGUGUGAGAAUGGAAAGUUCAUACUGUGACGGUACUUAACCAGAAAGGGACGGCUAACUACGUGCCAGCAGCCGCGGUAAUACGUAGGUCCCGAGCGUUGUCCGGAUUUAUUGGGCGUAAAGCGAGCGCAGGCGGUUAGAUAAGUCUGAAGUUAAAGGCAGUGGCUCAACCAUUGUAGGCUUUGGAAACUGUUUAACUUGAGUGCAGAAGGGGAGAGUGGAAUUCCAUGUGUAGCGGUGAAAUGCGUAGAUAUAUGGAGGAACACCAGUGGCGAAGGCGACUUUCUGGUCUGUAACUGACGCUGAUGUGCGAAAGCGUGGGGAGCGAACAGG